CUCUCGGUCGUCUAGUUGGUUUAUGACGUCAGACUGUAAAUCUGGAUGUCGCGCGUUCGACUCGCGCCUGAGAGA
rnacentral:tRNA from 4 species